GCAGCUGGAUUAACCAAACAGUCAGAAGCGAAGUCGGUGCCAAAUUUUCAGGAAUUAACCUAUCGUUUGCUAGGGUUCCCGUUUACUUGGUUUUUUUUUUAUUAGCUAUUUAUUAUUGGAUUUUGUUUCUGUCGGGUAAGGAUAGGAAGACUUUGUUUCUACUUGAGGCAAAGAUAAAGAUCCUGCAAGAUGAGUUCUCGUUCGAAUCACAUUUUAGCUGAUCUGGAUAUAGAAAGCGUCUUACAAUGCCCAGUUUGCUUUGAAAUUCCACCAUCAAUUAUUUUUAUGUGUAAAGUUGGGCAUCACAUGUGUGAAAGGUGUAGAUUGAGACUUCAAACAUGUCCAACGUGCAAGGCAUCGAUAACUAGCUGUCGAAAUUAUCUAGCAGAAUCACUGACAAACAAGUUCUCAAUCCUAUUAAAAGGUAGUGGAGAUGGAGAUGUGAUAAAUAAUUUGAAUGAACAAAUCAACGUCUACUUAAAUAAAAAAGCAAUCAGUGAACGAGUGAAUCAACUCAAACAACUGCCAAACCCCACAGGAAUGUACAAGUGUUUGUUAGAAUCAUGUUGUAACAGAAAAGAAAUGGCUGUCACACUUAUGUUUCCACACAUUAAGAAAGUACAUCCACACCUAUUUGACACGUUCAAGAACACAACUGCUACAUUCACACACAAGUUUGAGAACUUCUGCUACAGAAAACACCAGACAAAAUAUCAUCGAGCUUUUAGUGUAACAAACUUGGGAUUGUUCUUCCUCAACCUUGAAACGGUGCCGGAUCAAUACAUUAACUGUUGGAUCUCUGUACCAGCCCCAUUAAAACAAUGCUCUCUUUUCCAAUGUGAAUUGGUGUUUACCAAAGAACUCGACAACACCAAAAAUUUGAUUUUCAGUAGCAAGGUGGGGUCAAACUCUUAUGGAAAAGAAAAGGCAUUCGAGACUGGAAAAGUCUUCGUCAUACCACCAGAAGACCACUUGAUGAAGGAUGGUGAAUUCUUCUCUAUAAACGUCAAGAUUGUGUACACAAAACCAAAGGAAAACCCGAAGCCAACAUCAUAAGAGGAGGAAAUGAAUAAUGCAACCAAAAAAUUGCUCAAGUCUACUAAUCAUACCUAACAACUAUAAGUGAACGUGACUGAUCUUAGAAAACGAUCAUAGAAUUUUAUGAGGUCCAGCGGAAUCAUAAGGGGUUCUACUGCAUUUUACAUUCAACUAGUAUUUUACGAGUUGACAUUAGUUUUUUAAAUGUUAAACACUGUUUAUUUACCUGUUUUGUAAAUUAUCAAAGGGUUUGUUUGCAGUAAUAAAUUUAAGUGCAAUUUUAUUUUUAAGCUUUUUAUUGUAUUUAGUAUUUAGUAUUAUUUUGUGUAGCCGAUUGUCAGGCCCCCAAUUUGCAUGUGACACGCUAUGGGCCUGAGAGAUAUUUGCCCCUCCCACCCCCCUCCUUGCGAGGGAAUUGUUCUCGCUAACUUUUGCGCCUCUGGGUUCGAGGCUAUUUAUUUAAGAGGCCCUGCCUAUUGUUUUAUACAAUUUACUGACUUUAUGAUUGUGCUUUGCUCUGAGAAUAAUACCUAAAACAUCCACAAGAACAUAAAUACAGAAUCUUAAUAUGUCUAGAUAGUUUUCACUACACUAAAUUUUUUAUCUAUUGGUCUUAUCAUGCAUGAAUUUAGUCCGGGAAACAGCUGUUUAACCGCCUUCUUAACCAAAUGAGAUUUCAGUACGUAAUACUAUAGAUAAAACAUACUCCCUUAGUAGUUUUGUCAUUAUUAUGGAACAGCUGAAGCCAAUUUUAUUGUUAGUUCUGUACGUCCAACUGUAGAGGUUGUGUUUUGUUUACAAUUUGUUUCUUGUUAUUUCAGUAAUUUAAAACCUCAUUUAACCAAAUAAAAUGAUAUAAUCAUAAACAAUGACUGUUCUCCAAGUUAUAUACCCAAAUAAUAAAGCACAAAUCUUGAUAAUAACCCUAAAAUUAUAGAAACAAAAUUUCGUCUUCCCCAGUGAUCAGUCUGGACAUACAUGAACUAGACACGAAAAACUAGCUUCAAAAUUUACAAUGGGAUGAGGAGUCUACUUUUGUUGCUUAGUCUAUGGUAAUACUGUACAUUAACAAAUUUUACCAGGCACCAGCUGAUUAUAUUUGGCAGUGAGGGGUUUCAAACAAAAACAAACCCUCCUUAGAAGUUAUCAGGAGUUAUUGUCAACAAGUUAUUUAGUCGGUGGGGAUUUGUACAGUUUUUUUUUAAAUUGUGUAGUAUGGGUAAAAAUAACAAACAUCACUCUUCCUAAAUGUGCUUACCAUACUUGCUGAUAAACAUCUAUUUUCCGGACUAGUAGUGACGUAAUAUACUAUUACAGAUCUUUUACUUGGUUAACAUUGAACCAAUAUUCCAGUAAAUCGUGCUUCAGUAUUCAUAUUUUAAUGAAUUAUAAUUAUUGAAUAAAUUAGUGAAUAUAGUUAGUUAUUUUAGAUGAGUGGGUAGCUCCACGGACUUUCAGCCAGUGACAGCAAGGUCUAGGGUUCGGAUCUUGGUUCCUACCAAUACAUUUGACCUACAACCAUUUUUGAAUUUAGCCUUUUCAGUUCAGUUCAAUUCUUAGAAUUGCAAAUAUUCUUUUUUUACAUAAUUGUUUACUUACUUUACAGCAUUGUUUUCUUACUUUCAACACUUGAAAUGGACUAAUGCGGUUUGAGGAUUGAGAGAAAAGAAGUAACAUUGUAAUGCUUCGAACAUGAACUUAUCAGCUGUUACCAUUUGUAAUGAGUGGUUGGUACAACGAGUCGUUGCAUCAUUAUCAGUGACAAUGAGAGGUUAUAAACAAAAACGUAACCCCUCUUAAAAGUUGUGAUCAGUGAUUGAGCUAGUAGGCCUAGUUAAAAAAUUGUCUUAGCUAAAGUUGUGUACUUAACUCGUGUAAAGACUAUCUUUACGUGAUUGUUGCGUAAACUACUAUUUUACUACACUUCACCCUUGUACUUUAUACUUUAAUAUUUUUCAAUGAAAUUGCGACCAUAAAAAGUAGGUAUUUUAAGCCAAGUAUGAAUGGAUAUGAGUGUAGGAUGAGUGGCGCGAUCUUGUAGUCUUGUUAGUGACUAAGGCCGACAUAUUCCUACGAACCACAUUUUUGCCUUGGUAUUUAUGAAUUGGUCUAGUUAUCAGUAUAGUACUGUGGAUAGUCGUAGUACUCACUAGUGUGGAUGUUAAUCCACACCAGGGAGUAUGGCAUCCACAGUGCAUGCCUAUAAAUAUCUACAAUUCGUGACCUCCUAGUAGCUGGAUUACAGGACGACGCCACCGUCCCAGUCUCACCCAUAUAUAGGCUCACCCAUACUUAGCUGGAUAUCUUACUACACACAGGUCCAUAGCCUAUGUUGACAGGCAAAUGCAAGGUUAAAAGAGGUCGCCAACCUCUAUGCAAACUUCCCAUAUAGGGAAUAUGCUAUUUUUAAAUUUACAUAAAAAAAUAUAAUGAUACCAUUAUCAGAUGUUUGCAAUAUUAUCUUGUUAAAUUAUCAAUUGCAAUAUACUUGGACCAAUUUGUAAAGAAAGAUGUAUAGGGUGUCCCACGAAGGGGUUUAAACGUUUGAUUUUAUAUUACGCGCCCAUUCAUGCACCGAAAUUUUUAAAACUUUACACAGUUUACAAAGUAGGUUCUAAAAAUAUUCUGGAAAAAUUUCAACUCCCUAACCUUAGUAGAAACAAAAUGGCGGCAUAUUGAAAAGGUUACUUUAAAAACGUUAAAAAAGGUAUUUUUGGUUUUAUAAAAUAUUUUUAUUGUUACUUUCCAGGGUAAUAUGACUUUUAAACAAUGAAAAAUUAGAACAUAGCCAAAUGGAAAUCUAAAAAUUAAUCAAAUAACUAGUAAAUAAUAAUAAUAAAUAAAUAACUAAUAAUAAAUCAUGAAAGUAGUUUUUAUAGAAAGCACAUUGGUAAAUUUGUCAAUAAGCCGCCAUUUUGUUUCUACUAAGGUUAGGGAGUUGAAAUUUUUCCAGAAUAUUUUUAGAACCUACUUUGUAAACUGUGUAAAGUUUAAAAAGGUUCGGUGGAUAAAUGGGCACGUAAUAUAAAAUCAAACGUUUAAACCCCUUCGUGGGACACCCGGUAUAAGUAAAUGUUAACUACUUAGUAAGAAAUGUAUAUGUUUUAUGGGAUUAAAUUAAG